GCUAAACGUGUUUGGUAUAUAAAAUAAACAUUUUAUCAGUUUCAUUAGCAUGAACAAAGUUUAAAGUCUUUUUUUCCUUGAGAAAACUUACCAAGGCGGCUCCAAGAAAUGAUUGGUUUAGGAUUUCCCGUGGCCACGCAUUCCAAAACAACAGUCUGAUGAAGAGACGUUGUUAUGUUCUGUGGGCCUGCUAUAAUGGUUGGUGUGUAGAAGGAAUUAGACUCUUCAACUUUGGGGAGGAAAAGGCACAAUAUAAAAGUAAAUUAUAAAUAAGAUAUAACAAGUGAAACAAGUUAAAAUAUCUAUUCUUAAGUUAUUCACUUUUUAAAACAUAAAUUUAUUG
rnacentral:lncRNA from 1 species